rnacentral:rRNA from 1 species
CGCGGUAUCUUGACCGUGCGAAGGUAGCAUAAUCAUUAGUCUUUUAAUUGAGGGCUUGUAUGAAGGGUCGGACGAGAAAUGAGCUGUCUUUAUUGGAAAAAUAGAAUUUAAUUUUUAAGUGAAAGGGCUUAAAUAUUCUAAAGGGACGAUAAGACCCUAUAAAGUUUGACAUUUUAUUUUUUAAAAGAUAAAGUAAGCAGGUAAUUUUUAUUAGUGAGAAUAAUGUUUUGUUGGGGCGACUAGAAUAAAAAAAAUUUAACUGUUUUAUGUUGAUACAAAAAUGUUUGAUGGAUUGAUCCUUAUUAAAGAUGUUAGAAUAAAUUACUUUAGGGAUAACAGCGUAAUUUUUUUUGAGAGUUCUUAUCGACAAAAGAAGUUUGCGACCUCGAUGUUGAAUUAAAGAAUUCUUUAUAUCGCAGAGGUUAUAAAAGAAGGUCUGUUCGA